rnacentral:tRNA from 1 species
UAGCUCAGUCUGGUAGAGCAUGUGACCCUUGAUCACAGGUUGUGAGUUCAAGCCCCAC